rnacentral:rRNA from 1 species
UGGCGGACGGGGGAGUAAUGUCUGGGAAACUGCCUGAUGGAGGGGGAUAACUACUGGAAACGGUAGCUAAUACCGCGUAACGUCGCAAGACCAAAGAGGGGGACCUUAGGGCCUCUUGCCAUCGGAUGUGCCCAGAUGGGAUUAGCUAGUAGGUGGGGUAACGGCUCACCUAGGCGACGAUCCCUAGCUGGUCUGAGAGGAUGACCAGCCACACUGGAACUGAGACACGGUCCAG